AUGAGUGUAUUAUGCUGGAACUGUCGCGGGGCGGGCAACGCCGCGACGGUCAAUGAACUUCGCACUCUCGCGAAGAAUUUUGCCCCUUCCCUCCUGUGCAUUGUUGAGACACAAAUAGAUGGAGCGAGGGUCGAAGCUUUAGCUGGUGUCGUGGAAUUGUCACGGCAGAUGUCCUCAAGCUAG
rnacentral:rRNA from 1 species